rnacentral:lncRNA from 1 species
GUUUAAGCUGAGUUCCAGUGUGGGACUUGCCGCCUGCUGGAUGGCAUUUAAAGCCAUGAUCAUUACGGAGAGGGUAGUGGGAGAGGAGAGGUUCCGGGAGUGACCCCUGGGCCUGCUCCAGUGUCGCAGGUUUGGGAGAAGAAUAGCCACCAGGGGAGACUGAGACGGAGUGGCCGGGGAGACGGAGAAAAACCAGGAGACCACGGGGUGAAGAAACGCCCGGAGCCAGAGGGAUGAAUGUGGUCAAAGCUGCUAUUCAAGUGAGGCGGGGCUGAGCGAAGGCUUCCACGGAGGCAGCAGAGUCCCGGUUUUCACUCACGACCAGCUUUGCGAGGCUCUGCCUGAGAGAGGUGGCCCCGCGCACGUCAGCUGUGGACGAGGGGGACACGUGCUCCAGCAUGGCCAUCCCGCUCCACCUUCUGCAUUCAUCGCAGGGGACGAGGGCUCAGUGCAGGCUGCAGCUGUCCCGGCAUCUCCUGAGCUCUGCCCUCCCUCUGGAUCCCCACUCCCUCAGGGCGGAGGCGGACAGCAGGCUGAAGGGAGAACUUCAGUCAGUGGGAAACUUCAUGGAGCAACAGCUGGCUGCCAGCUGUCCUCGCCUUGUCACAGUUCUGAUUACACCUUGCAGGUGAAGAAGAUGAGGCUCAGAGAAGUUAAGUACCACCCAAGGCCCCAAAGCUAUCUGACCUCUGCAGAAAUUGGACGGAUCCUGGAGGAAGACCGCAGACCGCCACGGCUUAACCAAGGGGGAGCCCUGCUCGCAGCUGCUGUGCCUGACGUGGAGUCCUUGCCGGAGCAGGUUCACGAGGCCUUAGGUAUGUGGCCAGCAGUAAUUCAGUGCCUGUGGUCUUUUCCAUUCCAAUUAGAAAAGAGGAUCAGAAACAGUUCACAUUCACAUGGGAUGGACAACAAUAUUCAUUUACACUUUUGCCUCGGGGCUAUGUUAACUGUCUCUCUGACUUAAUAUAAUCCCAAGAGAUCAGGACCAUGAUCCCACAGAACAUCACCCUGAUCCAUUGCAUCGCUGCGCCAUGCUGGUUAGACAGGAUGAGCAAGAGGUGUCCCUAUGCUGGAAGCCGCGGCUAAGUCACAUGCACUCCAGAGUGCGGCAUAUAAAACCUAUGACGAUUCAAAGACCUACC